rnacentral:lncRNA from 14 species
CAAGGGACUAACAUGACUCUCUGAAGAGCUGUUGAGCCAUGUAAAGGGAAGGCCUGCACAAGGGGCAAAGACCCAGGCAGUUAUGAUGGAAGGCUGCUACAGUCAGAAUGCUUGAAUGAUCCAGAGAAUGAGAC